UACGGGGGGGGCAAGCGUUGUUCGGAAUUACUGGGCGUAAAGGGCUCGUAGGUGGCCAACUAAGUCAGACGUGAAAUCCCUCGGCUUCACCGGGGAACUGCGUCUGAUACUGGAUGGCUGGAGUUUGGGAGAGGGAUGCGGAAUUCCAGGUGUAGCGGUGAAAUGCGCAGAUAUCAGGAGGAACACCGGUGGCGAAGGCGGAUCUCUGGGCCUUACCUGACGCUGAGGCGCGAAAGCUAGGGGAGCGAACAGG
rnacentral:rRNA from 1 species